rnacentral:rRNA from 1 species
GACGAACGCUGGCGGCGUGCUUAACACAUGCAAGUCGAACGGAAAGGCCCUGCUCUUGUGCGGUGCUCGAGUGCCGAACGCGUGAGUAUCACGUGAGUAACCUGCCCCUGACUUUGGGAUAACUUCAGGAAACUCGGGCUAUUACCGGAUAGGAGCUCCUGCUGCAUGGUGGGGGAUGGUAAGUUUCGGCGGUUGGGGAUGGACUCGCGGUUUAUCAGCUUGUUGGUGGGGUAGUGGCUUACCAAGGCUUUGACGGGUAGCCGGCCUGAGAGGGUGACCGGCCACAAUGGGACUGAGGUAGGGCCCAGACGGCUACGGGAGGCAGCGGUGGGGAGUCUUGCACAAUGGGCGGAGGGCUGAAACAGCAGCGCCGGGUGCGGGAUGACGGCCUUCGGGUGGUAAACCGCUUUCGCCUGUGACGAAGCGGGAGUGACGGUAAUGGGUAAGGAAGCACCGGCUAACUACGUG